rnacentral:rRNA from 1 species
AACGAACGCUGGCGGCAUGCCUAACACAUGCAAGUCGAACGAGACCUUCGGGUCUAGUGGCGCACGGGUGCGUAACGCGUGGGAACCUGCCCUUAGGUUCGGAAUAACUCCCCGAAGGGGGUGCUAAUACCGGAUAAUGUCUUCGGACCAAAGAUUUAUCGCCUUUGGAUGGGCCCGCGUUGGAUUGGCUAGUUGGUAGGGUAAAAGCCUACCAAGGCGACGAUCCAUAGCUGGUCUGAUAGGAUGAUCAGCCACACUGGGACUGAGACACGGCCCAGACUCCUACGGGAAGCAGCAGUGGGGAAUAUUGUACAAUGGGCGAAAGCCUGAUCCAGCAAUGCCGCGUGAGUGAUGAAGGCCUUAGGGUUGUAAAGCUCUUUUACCCGGGAUGAUAAUGACAGUACCGGGAGAAUAAGCUCCGGCUAACUCCGUG